rnacentral:rRNA from 1 species
UACGAAGGGUGCAAGCGUUACUCGGAAUUACUGGGCGUAAAGCGUGCGUAGGUGGUGCGUUAAGUCUGUCGUGAAAGCCCCGGGCUCAACCUGGGAAUGGCGAUGGAUACUGGCGCGCUAGAGUGCGGUAGAGGAGAGUGGAAUUCCCGGUGUAGCAGUGAAAUGCGUAGAGAUCGGGAGGAACACCGGUGGCGAAGGCGGGUCUCUGGGCAAUUCCUGACGCUGAGGCGCGAAAGCGUGGGGAGCAAACGGG